rnacentral:lncRNA from 1 species
CUGGAAAUGCACUCCAUGGAAGUGUGAAUCUGAAAGUAUACAAUGACUGAUGCCCCAGGAUUAUAACUGGGAAAAAUCAGAGACCAUCAAAAGGUGCAGUGGGGACCAGAGAAAUAACUACGGUUCGUCCAUACUACGGGCUGCAAUGCAGCAAUUUCAAAUUAUGUUCCUUUGGAAGGCCAAAUAAUGGUUCCCAAAAGAUGUCCACAUCCCAUCCUUGGAAUCUGUAAAUGUUACUUUAUAUGGCCAAAGGGACUUUGCAGGUGUAAUUAAACUAAGAAUCUCGAGAUGGGGAGAGCAUCCUGGAUUAUCCAGGUGGGUCCAAGGUAAUUACAAGAGUCCUCACAAGAGGGAGGCAGGCGUUGUGAGGGGGCAGUAGCAGAUGUGAUGGACGCAGGAGGCUGCAGUAAGCAGGGGAGGAGGUCAGGAGCCAAGGAGUGCAGCCACCUCAGGAAACUGAAAAAGGGAAGCAAACAGACUCCCCUCAGAACUUCCAGAAGGACGGACGCCCUGCCGACAGCUUACCUUCAGCCCAGGGAGGCCGACUCUGGACGACGCACCUCCAGAACCGCAAAACACUGAAAGAGACCAAGGUCCUCUACCGAACAGCAAGUACAAGGUCCACCCUCCCCUUCUUCAUUUUUCAAGUCACCAAGUGUUGGAGUACUCAAGUUUUCCCAAUAAAACAUAUCUCAACUCUCUCCUGGUUCAAAGAGACAGCUGCCAAUCUCCCCCUAAAACUCCACUUAAAACACUAAUGGGAGCCACGUGCACUUUCCCGGAGCCUUCAGCCUUCCUAGCUCGUUACCCUAACUAUCUGUGGCACGUACUACGGCUGCCACACAAACACAAGAGGCAGCUGGCAGGGCAGGAACUACUUACCGCCAGAAUCAAAGAAAAUGGAGUCAAAGACACGUGAAUUUAAAGAGAAGGCUAAAAACCUCUGGACCAGAAGAGAUCCCACUUGAUCCCAUGGGACCCUGGGUGCUUCAAAGGCUCCACAAGCACCAAAUUAGAAUUUCUCUUUUUUCACCGACACGACCAACUCUUGAUUAUAAGGGAUGCUGGAGGAGGAGAAAGGAGAGACCCAAUGGGCAAGAGGCCCACUCAGGCCACCCCCACCACCUCGUCCCAUAAAGGGCUCUGGCCGUCCCUGAGGCGCAUGGAAACAAAAUCUUAUUUGCAAAAGUGUUCUGCAUGAAUGGAUAAACAAAGUAUGUUACAUCCACACAAGAGAUUACUACUGGACCGUAAAAAGGAACAAAGUAUUGACACAUGCUACAACAUGGAUGACCCUUAAUGCUGAAUAAAAGCCAGACACAGAGCCCCACACAUGAUGCCACCUGAAUAUAUGAAAUAUUCAGAAAUUACAAAUCUAAGGAGACAGCAGAUAGAGGUUGCCUGGGGCUGGGUUAUAAAUGAGUAGUGAUGACUGCAAAUGGGCACCAGAGAUCUUUCUCGGGUGACAGAAAUGUUCUAAAAGUGGGUGUGGUGAUGAUUGCACAACUCUAAAUUUACAAAAAAAAACCCAAAAACCACUGAAUAAGUACACUUAAAACAGGUGAAUUUUAUGGUAUGUAAAUUUCACCUUAAAGCUCUUACAAAAAAACAAAAUGAGCGCCGCAGAUAAAGCAGCUGGGAAGAGCCACUAUUCUCCAAGCCCCUUGUUUUUACCCAUACGCAAACACACCUUGAAGUCAGAGCACAAUUUACUAGCAGAGUUAAGACUAAAGGGCCAGAGGAAACGACAUUCGCCAGAGUUCAACUCUGAGAUCUUAUGCCACUCACUUGGAAGUGUCGUUCAGAAUCUGAAUGUCGAUAUUUAACUUCAUCUGUGGACACAUAAGCCAAGAUUCUCGGGGGCUCUGACCCAAAACAUCUUAUUUUGGUAAACAUCUUAUUAAAAAUGAUGCUGAUGCUCUGUAACAGUCUUAGGGGGUCACGACCAUCACUGGGCGAGCCAAGGUCUGAAGAUGCUACGGGUCUGAAGGGUUCUCUGGAUCGGAGGGCAAACCGGAGCCUCGGGGGCCCGAGCGGCCGCCGAGCUUCUCGCACCGCACUCCUGGCACCCGCGGGGCGGCGUGUGCAGCCUGAGACACGGGAAAGAGCCCAGCGUGGGAUGCGCUGGGCUUUGGGGCCAGGAGCUCGGAGAACGGGCACGGGCCCGAGGGAGGACGACCGCGGCGGAACGGCCCUCCGCCUAGUAUUUGCAUUUGCCAUGAACGCCUGGAGCAGCGAUCUCCUCCUGGGCCUUUAGGUGUCCUGGUCCAGAGCCAGGCUCGGGCGACACCCCUAGCACCCACUCUGCAAACCUCGACCCAUCUGACCGACGCGGCAGCCGAGACGCUCAGGCCUGAGAAUGCGAAUCCUCGCCCGUCUGACUCCCACCCUGGCAGGCGAAUCCCCUGCUCCGAAUCCUGCCCGCUCCACUCCUAACCCCUCUCGGCCUGCUGGCCUGGACCACUGAUGCCAUCGUGGUUACUCUUUCUGAAGAAACAAGGAUCGAUGUGUUAAACUCUGAAAAGUUUGCCUCCCAAAAAAUGUCUGCCUGAUUUAGAUCCUAGGAUCACGCGCCGUUAUCUAAAUGUUGAAUCUGGCCCAGACUUGGCAUUGGGCACAACUGGGAGACUGAAAGCAUGUUCUAGGUAAUGCUAAUAAAAAAUGAUGUGCUAUCCGGUCAGAUAAAACUGCUUAUAUCUUAUUUGAACUUUCCGCAGCACCAUGAUAAUGCUGAAUGGCAUCAAUGUGACAAGAAAUCACAGCACCACUUCUUCCCUUUAACAUUAUUUAUCCAAACCAAUAAUAUAGUGGAUAAAUACAGAAUCUCCUACUAGCUUUGUGAUCCAGGGCAAGUUGCUCUUUGUAUUUCAAAGCUCUUUGUAUUUCACCUUCUUCAUCCAAAAAAGAGAUAUUAAUACUUGCCUCAUAGGAUGAGGGUUAAAUGAAACAUACACAUUCAGGGCUUGACUCACACAUGUUCAAUAAAUGGUGGUGGUUCUAUCUAGACCAACCCACACCCGAU